AUGUGGCGGCUGAGGUCUGCCGUGCCAGGGAGAGGACAGGGCCGAGCAAGGCACCUUGUCCCAGCUCUGCUGUGGGAUGCCUGUGCACAGCAAGGCCCUGUUGCUCUCUGCUCUCAGUUUGGCUCUCAAGUCUGCCUGCAGCCACCGAGGGGUUCAUGCCGCUCCGUUUCGGUCAUUGCUGUGGCUGUAAUCGCGGACCCUUGUGGUCCUCCGUGUCUUCAAGCCUUAUGCAGGGCUUGUCCUGCUCUUUGGAUCUCACUCUGUUUGCUGGGGAGCCUGGACGGGGCUUUGGGGGAUUUGUGUCGGGUUUUCCCAGAUCAACCUGGCACUGAGCAGCCUGACGCUGCCCUGGGGGGGGUUUCCCUUUGGUGCCAGGGUUUGGAUGCACUAUUCGGCACCGAGUGCCACCUGCCAGUCCCGAGACCAGCCCGGGGCGUGCCACCGAAGCCGUUAAUUUCAGCAGAGUGCCUGGGCAAGGCCAAGGUCCUCCGGCAAGCAGCCGUUAGCGCUCACCUUUGCCCAGCUCGGCGUUUCAGAGGGAAUAAUUUGCAAUCAUACCACAGCUUCAGAAAGCAUCUGAGUCAGAUAUGGGUGAAUUAUUUGCAGACAGCAGAGCUGUUUUCUCCUGCACAGCAACAGCUUGAACAGUCUGGAGAGGGAGGUUUUGCUUCUUGCAAGUGGAGGAUGCAGCACCAUGCUCCAGGAGAGGGCUGCUGGCUGUCUCGGUGAGACAUCGAGAUGUGCCCAAGCCCUAGCCGAGCAGGCACAGCCGGACCUGAAGGGUCCUGAAGAAAUGCUCCCUCCAUCCCUGUUCCCACCUGGCACGCUGGCCCCUUCCCAUCAGCUGCAGCGGCUUUUUAAUAGCCGUUUCCCUGUGAAAUCGGAAGGAUUGCUGGCUGUGAAAUACAAAUGGUAUGUACUAAAUGCUGUGUAAUGGAUUCCUCUUGAAUCAUUUCGUGCCUGCGUGUUUCUAAUAAAAGGUUUCGGGAGCGGGGUGGUUUUGCUGGC
rnacentral:lncRNA from 1 species